AUUGAACGCUGGCGGCAUGCCUUACACAUGCAAGUCGAACGGCAGCAUGAUCUAGCUUGCUAGAUUGAUGGCGAGUGGCGAACGGGUGAGUAAUACAUCGGAACGUGCCCUGUAGUGGGGGAUAACUGGUCGAAAGAUUAGCUAAUACCGCAUACGACAUGAGUGUGAAAGGGGGGGACCGCAAGGCCCCAUGCUAUAGGAGCGGCCGAUGUCUGAUUAGCUAGUUGGUGAGGUAAAGGCUCACCAAGGCGACGAUCAGUAGCUGGUCUGAGAGGACGAUCAGCCACACUGGGACUGAGACACGGCCCAGACUCCUACGGGAGGCAGCUGUGGGGAAUUUUGGACAAUGGGGGCAACCCUGAUUCAGCAAUGCCGCGUGUGUGAAGAAGGCCUUCGGGUUGUAAAGCACUUUUGUCCGGAAAGAAAUCGCACUUACUAAUAUUAGGUGUGGAUGACGGUACCGGAAGAAUAAGGACCGGCUAACUACGUGCCAGCCGCCGCGGUAAAAC
rnacentral:rRNA from 1 species